rnacentral:rRNA from 1 species
AACGAACGCUGGCGGCAGGCCUAACACAUGCAAGUCGAGCGAGGACUUCGGUCCUAGCGGCGGACGGGUGAGUAACGCGUGGGAACGUGCCCUUUGCUACGGAAUAGCCCCGGGAAACUGGGAGUAAUACCGUAUGUGCCCGAGAGGGGAAAGAUUUAUCGGCAAAGGAUCGGCCCGCGUUGGAUUAGGUAGUUGGUGGGGUAAUGGCCUACCAAGCCGACGAUCCAUAGCUGGUUUGAGAGGAUGAUCAGCCACACUGGGACUGAGACACGGCCCAGACUCCUACGGGAGGCAGCAGUGGGGAAUCUUAGACAAUGGGGUAAACCCUGAUCUAGCCAUGCCGCGUGAGCGAUGAAGGCCUUAGGGUUGUAAAGCUCUUUCAGUGGGGAAGAUAAUGACGGUACCCACAGAAGAAGCCCCGGCUAACUCCGUGCCAGCCGCCGCGGUAAAAC